UGUUGAUACCAUCCUGUGGGGAGGGAUAGGGAUUGGUCCAAUUCCAUGCAUUACUUCUAUUUUGAACUCUAUCUCCCUGACAGGUGAUAGUCCUGGGAACUCAUCUGGGGAAACAUCUAAACUCUCUAACAAUGGGCACUGAGGCGGGCUCCCUGACCUGACUGCUAUACUCUCUCUGAAGAGCUAGAACCCCUGACAACUUUU
rnacentral:lncRNA from 1 species